GUGCUCGCUUCGGCAGCACAUAUACUAAAACUGGAAGGUAUACAGAGAAGAUUAGCAUGGCCCCUGCACAAGGAUGACACGCUUGAAGCGUUUCAUAUUAGA